rnacentral:rRNA from 1 species
CCUACGGGGGAAAAAUUUAUUGCUAUUAGAUGAGCCUAUAUUAGAUUAGCUAGUUGGUGGAGUAAUAGCCUACCAAGGCAAUGAUCUAUAGCUGAUCUGAGAGGAUGAUCAGCCACACUGGAACUGAGAUACGGUCCAGACUCCUACGGGAGGCAGCAGUGGGGAAUAUUGGACAAUGGGCGAAAGCCUGAUCCAGCCAUGCCGCAUGAGUGAAGAAGGCCUUCGGGUUGUAAAGCUCUUUUAGUGAGGAAGAUAAUGACGGUACUCACAGAAGAAGUCCUGGCUAACUCCGUGCCAGCAGCCGCGGUAAUACGGAGAGGGCUAGCGUUAUUCGGAAUUAUUGGGCGUAAAGGGCGCGUAGGCGGAUUAGUAAGUUAAAAGUGAAAUCCCAAGGCUCAACCUUGGAAUCGCUUUUAAAACUGCUAAUCUAGAGAUUGAAAGAGGAUAGAGGAAUUCCUAGUGUAGAGGUGAAAUUCGUAAAUAUUAGGAGGAACACCAGUGGCGAAGGCGUCUAUCUGGUUCAAAUCUGACGCUGAGGCGCGAAGGCGUGGGGAGCAAACAGGAUUAGAUACCCUGGUAGUCCACGCUGUAAACGAUGAAUGUUAAAUAUGGGAAGUUUUACUUUCUGUAUUACAGCUAACGCGUUAAACAUUCCGCCUGGGGACUACGGUCGCAAGAUUAAAACUCAAAGGAAUUGACGGGGACCCGCACAAGCGGUGGAGCAUGUGGUUUAAUUCGAUGCAACGCGAAAAACCUUACCACUCCUUGACGUGGAAAUUAUACCUAUUCGAAGGGAUAGG